UACGGGGGGGGCAAGCGUUGUUCGGAAUUACUGGGCGUAAAGGGCGCGUAGGCGGCCUACUAAGUCGGACGUGAAAUCCCUCGGCUCAACCGGGGAACUGCGUCCGAUACUGGUGGGCUCGAAUCCGGGAGAGGGAUGUGGAAUUCCAGGUGUAGCGGUGAAAUGCGUAGAUAUCUGGAGGAACACCGGUGGCGAAGGCGGCAUCCUGGACCGGUAUUGACGCUGAUGCGCGAAAGCCAGGGGAGCAAACGGGG
rnacentral:rRNA from 1 species